ensembl:lncRNA
AAAAAGUUUAUUCAGUAACAUUUUUGUAAACAUUUGAGGUAAAUGAACAUUUACAUCAACAUGUUCUUACAAAAGGUGAGACACAAGGCACUUCUCUUCAUAGACAGUGAUUUCACAAUGGGUAUAUCUGCUCUGAGCGUGUCUAAAUCUCCUUCCCUGCCUCACUGGCCAAUUACAUCUGGCUCCACACCAGAGAUUCCAAAAGUCCAACAAAAUGUCAGUUUUCCAAAGGGUGGGUGGGGGUGCAGGACACAACAGUGGUGUAGAACUUUAACCUAGCCAAACACCUCACCAAUCAAUUUAAGACAAAAAACAAUCAAUACUAUUUUCAAAAUCAAAUUUUGAGUUUGUUUUCUUUUUUAAUUAUCUCAUAAAUAUAAAUACUUUAAAAAAUAUCCAGACAUCCUUUUUUGUGAGAUGUCCUUCACUAUUGUAUCUCUUCUACUGCUAUAAUUGUCUUAGAACAGCAUUCUGUCUAAACUGUGCAAAUCUUUAUCUACAUACUAAAGAGUAUAAACUUUAAUAAACAACCGAAAAACAACAAGGUUAUAAAAACUUUUUCUCAGCAGAAAUUGUAAGUUAACAGUACUCUUUCAACAACUCUUGACAAAAUUUGUUUGGUUGGCAUUUUAGUUUUUCUCUCUUUGGUGGACUGCUGACCUAAUUAUUGGAUUUUGGCAUUUAGGAUUACAACGUCACAGAUCCAGUCACCUGUAGAAUGAAUGGUUGAUAUAUCCACCUCCUGAAGGAACUAUAGAAAUAAUAUAAUCCUGUACCCAAUAGUUUUUAAAAGGAUUUGAGGCACUUGGAUUUUAUUUUGUGUGGCAAAAUGUAACGCAACUUACAGCAGACCUGAUUCUCAAGGCAUGUUCACACAACAUACAGCAGCGCACAGCAAGAGCAUUGACAGUAUUAGUUUAAACCCCCUCCAUCCCUAAAUAUACCCCUAUAUGUUUGUAUGUGUGUGUAGAGAGAGCGAAAAAGAGAAAAGGAAGGAAGAGCCGGAGAAUAGUUUAGGGGGGAAACAGCCUUUGUACAAUGCUCAAAUAUACUGUGAGAAUCCCAACUAUCUGUUUUUAUUUUAAGUGCCAAAAUUGAAGUGCCCCGGCUUCAUGUUGCUUGAGGGAGGACACCCUAAGUCGUGGUAGGAUAACAUGUGAUUUCAUCAUAACAAUGUUAAAAGUUAUGGGUUUAAAAGCCCAUUGGCCAAUUGUUGUGAGUUGUAGUUUCACAGUAACAAAAUUGACCCUUGUUUAAAACAAACACAAAAUCAAAACAUUGUGUUCUUGCUAUCCUCUUUCCUGAAUGUUAGAUGACAACUAAAGGAACUGAAUUUGGGAAAACAGAACCGGAUACCUAAAAAUA